UACGUAGGGUGCAAGCGUUGUCCGGAAUUAUUGGGCGUAAAGAGCUCGUAGGCGGUCUGUCGCGUCUGCUGUGAAAAUCCAGGGCUCAACCCUGGACCUGCAGUGGGUACGGGCAGACUAGAGUGCGGUAGGGGAGAUCGGAAUUCCUGGUGUAGCGGUGAAAUGUGCAGAUAUCAGGAGGAACACCGGUGGCGAAGGCGGGUCUCUGGGCCGAUACUGACGCUGAGGAGCGAAAGCGUGGGGAGCGAACAGG
rnacentral:rRNA from 1 species